rnacentral:rRNA from 1 species
CCCUUAGAUGCUCUGGGCCGCACGCGCGCUACACUGGUCGAUGCAACGAGUUUCUUUCCUUGGCCGACAGGCCUGGGCAAUCUUUGAACAUCGAUCGUGAUCGGGAUAGAUUCUUGUAAUUUUUGAUCUUAAACGAGGAAUUCCUAGUAAACGCAAGUCAUCAGCUUGCAUUGAUUACGUCCCUGCCCUUUGUACACACCGCCCGUCGCACCUACCGAUUGAAUGGUCCGGUGAAAUCUCCGGACUGGCGCGAGUCGGAGCAAUCUGACAAACGCCGGAAAGUUGAUUAAACCUUACCAUUUAGAGGAAGGUGAAGUCGUAACA